UGACCGCUGGCGGCGUGCUUAACACAUGCAAGUCGAACGGUGAAGGCGGAGCUUGCUCUGCUGGAUCAGUGGCGAACGGGUGAGUAACACGUGAGCAAUCUGCCCCUGACUCUGGGAUAAGCGCUGGAAACGGCGUCUAAUACUGGAUACGAGCUGCGAAGGCAUCUUCAGCAGCUGGAAAGAACUUCGGUCAGGGAUGAGCUCGCGGCCUAUCAGCUUGUUGGUGAGGUAACGGCUCACCAAGGCGUCGACGGGUAGCCGGCCUGAGAGGGUGACCGGCCACACUGGGACUGAGACACGGCCCAGACUCCUACGGGAGGCAGCAGUGGGGAAUAUUGCACAAUGGGCGAAAGCCUGAUGCAGCAACGCCGCGUGAGGGACGACGGCCUUCGGGUUGUAAACCUCUUUUAGCAGGGAAGAAGCGAAAGUGACGGUACCUGCAGAAAAAGCGCCGGCUAACUACGUG
rnacentral:rRNA from 1 species